rnacentral:rRNA from 1 species
UGCAGUCGAACGGAAGGCCCCUGCUUGCAGGGGUACUCGAGUGGCGAACGGGUGAGUAACACGUGGGUGAUCUGCCUUGUACUCUGGGAUAAGCUUGGGAAACUGGGUCUAAUACCGGAUAGGAACUGCCUUUAGUGUGGUGGUUGGAAAGUUUUUUCGGUGCAAGAUGAGCUCGCGGCCUAUCAGCUUGUUGGUGGGGUAAUGGCCUACCAAGGCGUCGACGGGUAGCCGGCCUGAGAGGGUGUACGGCCACAUUGGGACUGAGAUACGGCCCAGACUCCUACGGGAGGCAGCAGUGGGGAGUAUUGCACAAUGGGCGGAAGCCUGAUGCAGCGACGCCGCGUGGGGGAUGACGGCCUUCGGGUUGUAAACUCCUUUCGACAGGGACGAAGCGCAAGUGACGGUACCUGUAUAAGAAGCACCGGCUAACUACGUGCCAGCAGCCGCGGUAAUACGUAGGGUGCGAGCGUUGUCCGGAAUUACUGGGUGUAAAGAGCUCGUAGGUGGUUUGUCGCGUCGUCUGUGAAAUUCCGGGGCUUAACUCCGGGCGUGCAGGCGAUACGGGCAUAACUUGAGUGCUGUAGGGGAGACUGGAAUUCCUGGUGUAGCGGUGAAAUGCGCAGAUAUCAGGAGGAACACCGAUGGCGAAGGCAGGUCUCUGGGCAGUUACUGACGCUGAGGAGCGAAAGCAUGGGGAGCGAACAGGAUUAGAUACCCUGGUAGUCCAUGCCGUAAACGGUGGGCGCUAGGUGUGAGUCCCUUCCACGGGGUUCGUGCCGUAGCUAACGCAUUAAGCGCCCCGCCUGGGGAGUACGGCCGCAAGGCUAAAACUCAAAGGAAUUUGACGGGGGCCCGCACAAGCGGCGGAGCAUGUGGAUUAAUUCGAUGCAACGCGAAGAACCUUACCUGGGCUUGACAUACACCGGAUCGCCGUAGAGAUACGGUUUCCCUUUGUGGUUGGUGUACAGGUGGUGCAUGGUUGUCGUCAGCUCGUGUCGUGAGAUGUUGGGUUAAGUCCCGCAACGAACGCAACCCUUGUCUUAUGUUGCCAGCAAUUCGGUUGGGGACUCAUGAGAGACUGCCGGGGUUAACUCGGAGGAAGGUGGGGAUGACGUCAAAUCAUCAUGCCCCUUAUGUCCAGGGCUUCACACAUGCUACAAUGGUCGGUACAACGCGUUUUGCGAGCCUGUGAGGGUGUGCUAAUCGCUGAAAGCUGGCCUUAGUUCGGAUUGGGGUCUGCAACUCGACCCCAUGAAGUCGGAGUCGCUAGUAAUCGCAGAUCAGCAA